AAACCAGUAAGUCAUGCUUACCAUGCGCGUCGAACGGAGAAGGAGAGCUUGCUCUCCGGAUCAGUGGCGAACGGGUGAGUAACACGUGAGCAACCUGCCCCGGACUCCGGGAUAACAGUUGGAAACAGCUGCUAAUACCGGAUACGAGCUGCGAAGGCAUCUUCAGCAGCUGGAAAGAACUUCGGUCUGGGAUGGGCUCGCGGCCUAUCAGCUAGUUGGUGAGGUAAUGGCUCACCAAGGCGUCGACGGGUAGCCGGCCUGAGAGGGUGACCGGCCACACUGGGACUGAGACACGGCCCAGACUCCUACGGGAGGCAGCAGUGGGGAAUAUUGCACAAUGGGCGCAAGCCUGAUGCAGCAACGCCGCGUGAGGGACGACGGCCUUCGGGUUGUAAACCUCUUUUAGCAGGGAAGAAGCGAAAGUGACGGUACCUGCAGAAAAAGCGCCGGCUAACUACGUGCCAGCAGCCGCGGUAAUACGUAGGGCGCAAGCGUUAUCCGGAAUUAUUGGGCGUAAAGAGCUCGUAGGCGGUCUGUCGCGUCUGCUGUGAAAACCCGAGGCUCAACCUCGGGCCUGCAGUGGGUACGGGCAGACUAGAGUGCGGUAGGGGAGAUUGGAAUUCCUGGUGUAGCGGUGGAAUGCGCAGAUA
rnacentral:rRNA from 1 species